AUUGAACGCUGGCGGCAGGCCUAACACAUGCAAGUCGAGCGGAUGAAGGGAGCUUGCUCCUGGAUUCAGCGGCGGACGGGUGAGUAAUGCCUAGGAAUCUGCCUGGUAGUGGGGGAUAACGUCCGGAAACGGGCGCUAAUACCGCAUACGUCCUGAGGGAGAAAGUGGGGGAUCUUCGGACCUCACGCUAUCAGAUGAGCCUAGGUCGGAUUAGCUAGUUGGUUGGGUAAAGGCCUACCAAGGCGACGAUCCGUAACUGGUCUGAGAGGAUGAUCAGUCACACUGGAACUGAGACACGGUCCAGACUCCUACGGGAGGCAGCAGUGGGGAAUAUUGGACAAUGGGCGAAAGCCUGAUCCAGCCAUGCCGCGUGUGUGAAGAAGGUCUUCGGAUUGUAAAGCACUUUAAGUUGGGAGGAAGGGAAGUAAGUUAAUACCUUGCUGUUUUGACGUUACCAACAGAAUAAGCACCGGCUAACUUCGUG
rnacentral:rRNA from 1 species